AGCUUUGUGCAGUUACAGUAUCAUAGCCAAUGAGGUUUAUCCAAGGCAUGAUUAUUAUUAAUUGAAAAUAAGUAAAAUG
rnacentral:snRNA from 1 species